GAUGAACGCUGGCGGCGUGCCUAAUACAUGCAAGUCGAGCGAACAGAUAAGGAGCUUGCUCCUUUGACGUUAGCGGCGGACGGGUGAGUAACACGUGGGUAACCUACCUAUAAGACUGGAAUAACUCCGGGAAACCGGGGCUAAUGCCGGAUAACAUUUAGAACCGCAUGGUUCUAAAGUGAAAGAUGGUUUUGCUAUCACUUAUAGAUGGACCCGCGCCGUAUUAGCUAGUUGGUAAGGUAACGGCUUACCAAGGCAACGAUACGUAGCCGACCUGAGAGGGUGAUCGGCCACACUGGAACUGAGACACGGUCCAGACUCCUACGGGAGGCAGCAGUAGGGAAUCUUCCGCAAUGGGCGAAAGCCUGACGGAGCAACGCCGCGUGAGUGAUGAAGGUCUUCGGAUCGUAAAACUCUGUUAUUAGGGAAGAACAAAUGUGUAAGUGACUGUGCACGUCUUGACGGUACCUAAUCAGAAAGCCACGGCUAACUACGUG
rnacentral:rRNA from 1 species